UAGGGAAUCUUCGGCAAUGGACGGAAGUCUGACCGAGCAACGCCGCGUGAGUGAAGAAGGCUUUCGGAUCGUAAAGCUCUGUUGUAAGAGAAGAACGAGUGUGAGAGUGGAAAGUUCACACUGUGACGGUAUCUUACCAGAAAGGGACGGCUAACUACGUGCCAGCAGCCGCGGUAAUACGUAGGUCCCGAGCGUUGUCCGGAUUUAUUGGGCGUAAAGCGAGCGCAGGCGGUUAGAUAAGUCUGAAGUUAAAGGCUGUGGCUUAACCAUAGUACGCUUUGGAAACUGUUUAACUUGAGUGCAAGAGGGGAGAGUGGAAUUCCAUGUGUAGCGGUGAAAUGCGUAGAUAUAUGGAGGAACACCGGUGGCGAAAGCGGCUCUCUGGCUUGUAACUGACGCUGAGGCUCGAAAGCGUGGGGAGCAAACAGGAUUAGAUACCCUGGUAGUCCACGCCGUAAACGAUGAGUGCUAGGUGUUAGACCCUUUCCGGGGUUUAGUGCCGUAGCUAACGCAUUAAGCACUCCGCCUGGGGAGUACGACCGCAAGGUUG
rnacentral:rRNA from 1 species